CCUCAAGCAGAGGGAUUUGUCAGACUGACCCUAGUAAAGGGGCUCGGCCCGAGGAACGCCCUCCCUGCCUCCUUUCUGUCUGUCCUUCUGCGCCUUUCCCGCGCUCCAUCUUUCCCUCCGCCCUCCUUCGCCCCUUCUCCUGCUCUCUCCCCAUUCCCUUCCCUCUGUGGCGCGGGCGUUUCUCCGCGGAGCAGCGCGAGCUCGGGGAAAGCCGUCCGGCCUCCCGGCUACCGUGCGCUCUGCUGGGAGGCCGCCCGGGAAGGGCCACCGGCGCGCGCCCGAGGGGUCCGCCGGGAGGGACCCUGCGCGCCGGGAGCGGGCGCGGCCCCGGCCCGGGCCCGGAAGAGCCGCAGAAAAGCUGUGGGAAUACACCCGGAUUGAAAUGCCCCUGGCUCGCGUGACCCGACCCCUGGAGAAGCAGCCGAGUUACCCGACAUCGUGGUCAGCAGGAGCCAGGGCGGUGGCUGGAUGCUGUAGCUGCGGGGACUCAGCGCCUGGGAGGGCUCCUGUGCCAGGAGAGAAGCAGAGAUGCAACAUUUUAAAGUUUCACAAAGCAUCCGGCUGCACCCAGGUCCCUGGAGCAGGAGACAAACAGAAUUAAUGUUUUAUACCUUCGGGUAUAGGUUUGAGUUUUUUCCCCCUCAUGCCAAGUAUUUAAAACCUCUAGAAACCCA